rnacentral:rRNA from 1 species
UACGAAGGGGGCUAGCGUUGCUCGGAAUCACUGGGCGUAAAGCGCACGUAGGCGGAUCGUUAAGUCGGGGGUGAAAUCCUGGAGCUCAACUCCAGAACUGCCCUUGAUACUGGCGAUCUUGAGUCCGGGAGAGGUGAGUGGAACUCCGAGUGUAGAGGUGAAAUUCGUAGAUAUUCGGAAGAACACCAGUGGCGAAGGCGGCUCACUGGCCCGGUACUGACGCUGAGGUGCGAAAGCGUGGGGAGCAAACAGG